rnacentral:rRNA from 1 species
CGGCGUCACGAGUGGCAAUCACAUUUAUUGGGCCUAAAGCGUCCGUAGCCGGUUUAGCAAAUCUUUUGUGAAAUCGUCAGGCUUAACUUGACGAAUUGCAGAAGACACUACUAAACUAGGGACUGGGAGGAGUCAGAAGUAUUCUGGGGGGACCGGUAAAAUGGUAUAAUCCCCAGAGGACUACCGAUGGCGAAGGCAUCUGACCAGAACAGAUCCGACGGUGAGGGACGAAAGCCAGGGGAGCAAACCGGAUUAGAUACCCGAGUAGUCC